GGGGCCGUAGCUCAGUCUGGGAGAGCGCUUGAAUCGCACUCAAGAGGUCGCGGGUUCGAGCCCCGCCGGCUCCA
rnacentral:tRNA from 1 species